UUUUAAGAGCUUUUUAAAAUAAAAUAUUACCGCGAAUGCACACAAUCCACCCAUUAGAACACAACAAGAGCUAAAUUCAGUUAUUUGUGAGCUGUUUGAUUGUGAAAAUUUAAAGACUAUUUGACAGCGCGAGACUGUCUAAGGGCAGAAUAACAUCGAUCUCUCGAGCUCCAGAGGACGCUGAUUCUGUCAAGAACGAACAAAUCAAGAACAAGGUUAUUUCAAAAUACAUAAUAGCUUGGCGAAUAUAAACGAAAACAGUCACGUGAACAUAAACAGUUGAGAAAUAAAUCUGAAGUGUAUCAUGAUACUGGAUUUGAAUAUUAAAGUGACUGCAUUUACCAGCUGCUUUCUGUCUUUAAUUUUAAUCUAUAAAAACAGAAAAUCAUUCGUCUUGGCUGCUUUUUUUGUAUGUAUUCAUGUAUUUAUUAUUAUUAUUAUUAUUAUUAUUAUUAUUAUGCUCUAACAAGAAUUAAUCUAUAUUUAAUUAAAUUAAAUUUCUGCAUCUAAACACCUAUAAACCUAAAACAUGCUCUAUUAAACUAUUGUUAGCAAUUUCUUUAUCGUCCAGUUUAACUGGUGUACACACUUUUAUUUUCAUAAUAAAUUUGUUUUUUUUUAGAUAAUAGACAGUUACAGUGGUCUAUAAUAAAUAUUAACAGGUUUUGUUCAAGCUGCUUAAAAUGUUUGAAGUAGGCUCAUUUUUUUAAAUGUAAAUCC
ensembl:lncRNA